UACGGGAGGCAGCAGUGGGGAAUCUUGGACAAUGGGCGCAAGCCUGAUCCAGCCAUGCCGCGUGAGUGAUGAAGGCCCUAGGGUCGUAAAGCUCUUUCGCCAGGGAUGAUAAUGACAGUACCUGGUAAAGAAACCCCGGCUAACUCCGUGCCAGCAGCCGCGGUAAUACGGAGGGGGUUAGCGUUGUUCGGAAUUACUGGGCGUAAAGCGCGCGUAGGCGGACUGGAAAGUUGGGGGUGAAAUCCCGGGGCUCAACCCCGGAACUGCCUCCAAAACUCCCAGUCUUGAGUUCGAGAGAGGUGAGUGGAAUUCCGAGUGUAGAGGUGAAAUUCGUAGAUAUUCGGAGGAACACCAGUGGCGAAGGCGGCUCACUGGCUCGAUACUGACGCUGAGGUGCGAAAGUGUGGGGAGCAAACAGGAUUAGAUACCCUGGUAG
rnacentral:rRNA from 1 species